AGCAGCCGCGGUAAUUCCAGCUCCAAUAGCGUAUAUUAAAGUUGCUGCAGUUAAAAAGCUCGUAGUUGAAUUUCGGGACCAUCAUGUCGGUCGUGCCUCGGUACGUACUGGCAUUGUUGGUUUCUACCUUCUGACGAACCAUGAUGUCAUUUAUUUGGUGUCGUGGGAAAUCAGGACUGUUACUUUGAAAAAAUUAGAGUGUUUAAAGCAGGCUCACGCUUGAAUACAUUAGCAUGGAAUAAUGAAAUAGGACGUUUGAUUCUAUUUUGUUGGUUUCUAGGAUCGACGUAAUGAUUAAUAGGGAUAGUUGGGGGCAUUAGUAUUCAAUUGUCAGAGGUGAAAUUCUUGGAUUUAUUGAAGACUAACUACUGCGAAAGCAUUUGCCAAGGAUGUUUUCAUUAAUCAAGAACGAAAGUUAGGGGAUCGAAGACGAUCAGAUACCGUCGUAGUCUUAACCAUAAACUAUGCCGACUAGGGAUCGGAUGAUGUUAAUUUUUU
rnacentral:rRNA from 1 species